rnacentral:rRNA from 1 species
GACGAACGCUGGCGGCGUGCUUAACACAUGCAAGUCGAACGGAAAGGCCUGCUUUCCCUUGUGGAUUGCGGGUACUCGAGUGGCGAACGGGUGAGUAACACGUGAGUGAUCUGCCCCCAACUUGGGUAUAAGCCUGGGAAACUGGGUCUAAUUCCCGAUAGGGCUGCAGGGUGGUGCCUGUGGUGGAAAACGAUUUUCUAGUGGUUGGGGAUGAGCUCGCGGCCUAUCAGCUUGUUGGUGGGGUAAUGGCCUACCAAGGCGGCGACGGGUAGCCGGCCUGAGAGGGUGGACGGCCACAUUGGGACUGAGAUACGGCCCAGACGCCUACGGGAGGCAGCAGUGGGGAAUAUUGCACAAUGGGCGGAAGCCUGAUGCAGCGACGCCGCGUGGGGGAUGACGGCCUUCGGGUUGUAAACUCCUUUCGACCGCGAGGAAGCCACCUGGGUGGAGGGGUGGUGACGGUAGUGGUAGAAGAAGCACCGGCUAACUACGUG